CAAGCCGACCGGGUGAUCGCGUCUCACCGCGUGGUGAGAUGAGGAAAGUCCGCGCUCCACAGGGCACGGUGCUGGCUAACAGCCAGGCGGGGCGACCCGACGGCAUAGUGCAACAGAGAGGUGUAUUGCCCUUCCCGCGGGAAGGGUGAGGGUGAAACGGUGCGGUAAGAGCGCACCGGCGCCGGUGGCGACACCGGCGGCCAGGCAAACCCCACCGGGAGCAAAACCAAGCAGGAACGAGGGGCGGCCCGUCCCGUUUGAGUUCCGGGUAGGUUGCUCGAGGCGUCGAGUAAUCGGCGUCCCAGAUAGAUGGUCACCGCGCGCCGGGCAAUCCGGCGGGUACAGAACGCGGCUUACAGGUUGGCUUGAGUC
rnacentral:RNase_P_RNA from 1 species